CGGGGUGAGUAACGCGUGGAAAACCUGCCGUAUACUGGGGGAUAACACUUAGAAAUAGGUGCUAAUACCGCAUAAGCGCACAGCUUCGCAUGAAGCAGUGUGAAAAACUCCGGUGGUAUACGAUGGUUCCGCGUCUGAUUAGCUAGUUGGUGAGGUAAAAGCCCACCAAGGCGACGAUCAGUAGCCGGCCUGAGAGGGUGAACGGCCACAUUGGGACUGAGACACGGCCCAGACUCCUACGGGAGGCAGCAG
rnacentral:rRNA from 1 species